rnacentral:rRNA from 1 species
UACGUAGGGUGCGAGCGUUGUCCGGAAUUAUUGGGCGUAAAGAGCUUGUAGGCGGUUUGUCGCGUCUGCCGUGAAAUUUCGGGGCUCAACCCCGAACUUGCGGUGGGUACGGGCAGACUAGAGUGUGGUAGGGGAGACUGGAAUUCCUGGUGUAGCGGUGAAAUGCGCAGAUAUCAGGAGGAACACCGAUGGGGAAGGCAGGUCGCUGGGCCACUACUGACGCUGAGAAGCGAAAGCAUGGGGAGCGAACAGG